rnacentral:misc_RNA from 1 species
UAAUAGCAACUGAUCGAUGCAGGCUGCAACAGAUAGAAAAGCACAUGUUUAUAAACUUCAGAAGCUAAAGAUAGAGAGGGAAAACUGAAGCAAACAACUGGAUUAAGGAAUCACUUCAUUUUGCUGUUCAGAGUCGCCAUCCUCGCGAAGGGUCUAUUGGCGUUAAUGGAUAGCACGACUAGGAAAUAAACUUCAAAUAAACAUCGAUGAUUUACUAACUCGAGCCAACCGCUUUUCUAAUCGGUGUCCUUGC